rnacentral:rRNA from 1 species
CAUGCAGGCGGUCGGACGCGUUUCCAGUGACAGCGGGUGGCUUACCUACCCGAGUAUUGGAAAGACGGUUUGACUUGAGGACUCGAGAGGGACACGGAAUUCCGGGUGGAGUGGUGAAAUGCGUAGAGAUCCGGAGGAACAUCGAAGGCGAAGGCAGUGUCCUGGCGAGUAACUGACGCUGAGGUGCGAAAGCUAGGGGAGCGAACGGGAUUAGAUACCCCGGUAGUCCUAGCCGUAAACGAUGACCACCAGGUGUGGGAGGUAUCGACCCCUUCCGUGCCGGAGUUAACACACUAAGUGGUCCGCCUGGGGAGUACGGUCGCAAGGAUUAAA